GCGCACGCCGUCUACGUGCGCGCGACGUCUGCUGGAAUUCCGCCCGUACCGACACGGGGCGGCAACGACGAGAGGA
rnacentral:ncRNA from 1 species